rnacentral:rRNA from 1 species
AUUGAACGCUGGCGGCAGGCCUAACACAUGCAAGUCGAGCGAGCGGCGGACGGGUGAGUAAUGUCUGGGAAACUGCCUGAUGGAGGGGGAUAACUACUGGAAACGGUAGCUAAUACCGCAUACCAUCGGAUGUGCCCAGAUGGGAUUAGCUAGUAGGUGGGGUAAAGGCUCACCUAGGCGACGAUCCGUAGCUGGUCUGAGAGGAUGAUCAGCCACACUGGAACUGAGACACGGUCCAGACUCCUACGGGAGGCAGCAGUGGGGAAUAUUGCACAAUGGGCGCAAGCCUGAUGCAGCCAUGCCGCGUGUGUGAAGAAGGCCUUCGGGUUGUAAAGUACUUUCAGCGGGGAGGCGUUACCCACAGAAGAAGCACCGGCUAACUCCGUGCCAGCAGCCGCGGUAAUUC